rnacentral:tRNA from 1 species
GUGCCCAUGGUGUAAUGGCAACACAGCACACUGUGGAUGUGCUAUUACGGGUUCGAAACCCGUUGGGCACCCCU